rnacentral:snRNA from 1 species
CAAAUUAUUUGGUUGGAGAGAUGCCACAACCAUAAAGGUGGUUUUCCCCAAGGUGAGGCUCAUCCAUUGCACUCCAGUCUGCCGCCCCUUGUUAUUUCCCCCAAAUACAGGAAACAUGACUGCAUAAUUUUGGACAAAUUUUGCUAAAG